GGUCACAUUGAAACACCGGUCCCCUUAAGAUCACCGAAGUUAAGCAACGUUGAGCCUGGUCAGAACCUAGAUAGGUGGACGUUUAGGAAUACUAGCUGCUGUAAU